UACGGAGGAUGCAAGCGUUAUCCGGAUUCAUUGGGUUUAAAGGGUGCGUAGGCGGCCAUUUAAGUCAGCGGUGAAAUUUUGCAGCUUAACUGUAACAGUGCCGUUGAUACUGGGGAGCUAGGAUUUGGUUGUAGUGUGCGGAAUGUGUGGUGUAGCGGUGAAAUGCUUAGAGAUCACACAGAAUAUCGAUUGCGAAGGCAGCUCACAAAGCCAAGAUUGACGCUGAGGCGCGAAAGCGUGGGGAGGCAAACA
rnacentral:rRNA from 1 species